rnacentral:rRNA from 1 species
UACAGAGGGUGCAAGCGUUGUCCGGAAUCACUGGGCGUAAAGGGCGCGUAGGCGGCCUGAUAAGUCGGGGGUGAAAUUCUGCGGCUUAACCGCAGGACGGCCUUCGAGACUGUCGGGCUUGAGCACGGUAGAGGCAGGUGGAAUUCCCGGUGUAGUGGUGGAAUGCGUAGAGAUCGGGAAGAACAUCGGUGGCGAAGGCGGCCUGCUGGGCCGUUGCUGACGCUGAGGCGCGACAGCGUGGGGAGCAAACAGG